GCAUUCGUGGUCGAUUGGUUAAGAUUUCCGCUUCCCAAGCGGGGGGACCGGGUUCGAUUCCCGGCGAUUGCA